GUGUGCUUACAAGUAGUCAGAGCCCGUUAAUGGGUGAUGGCGUGCCUUUUGUAGAAUGAACCGGCGAGUUACGAUCUGAUGCAAGGUUAAGCAGAAAAUGUGGAGCCGUAGCGAAAGCGAGUCUGAAUAGGGCGAAUGAGUAUUUGGUCGUAGACCCGAAACCAGGUGAUCUACCCUUGGUCAGGUUGAAGUUCAGGUAACACUGAAUGGAGGACCGAACCGACUUACGUUGAAAAGUGAGCGGAUGAACUGAGGGUAGCGGAGAAAUUCCAAUCGAACUUGGAGAUAGCUGGUUCUCUCCGAAAUAGCUUUAGGGCUAGCCUCAAGUGAUGAUUAUUGGAGGUAGAGCACUGUUUGGACGAGGGGCCCCUCUCGGGUUACCGAAUUCAGACAAACUCCGAAUGCCAAAUAAUUUAACUUGGGAGUCAGAAUGUGGGUGAUAAGGUCCAUAUUCGAAAGGGAAACAGCCCAGACCACCAGCUAAGGUCCCAAAAUAUAUGUUAAGUGGAAAAGGAUGUGGCGUUGCCCAGACAACUAGGAUGUUGGCUUAGAAGCAGCCAUCAUUUAAAGAGUGCGUAAUAGCUCACUAGUCGAGUGACACUGCGCCGAAAAUGUACCGGGGCUAAACAUAUUACCGAAGCUGUGGAUUGUCCUUUGGACAAUGGUAGGAGAGCGUUCUAAGGGCGUUGAAGCAUGAUCGCAAGGACAUGUGGAGCGCUUAGAAGUGAGAAUGCCGGUGUGAGUAGCGAAAGACGGGUGAGAAUCCCGUCCACCGAUUGACUAAGGUUUCCAGAGGAAGGCUCGUCCGCUCUGGGUUAGUCGGGUCCUAAGCUGAGGCCGACAGGCGUAGGCGAUGGAUAACAGGUUGAUAUUCCUGUACCACCAUUAUUCGUUUUAAGCGAUGGGGGGACGCAGUAGGAUAGGCGAAGCGUGCUGUUGGAGUGCACGUCCAAGCAGUGAGAUUGAGUGUUAGGCAAAUCCGGCACUCUUAAGAUUGAGCUGUGAUGGGGAGAGGAACUUGUUCCUCGAGUCGUUGAUUUCACACUGCCGAGAAAAGCCUCUAGCUAGAAUAACGGUGCCCGUACCGCAAACCGACACAGGUAGUCAAGAUGAGAAUUCUAAGGUGAGCGAGCGAACUCUCGUUAAGGAACUCGGCAAAAUGACCCCGUAACUUCGGGAGAAGGGGUGCUCUUUGAGGUUCACGCUUCGAAGAGCCGCAGUGAAUAGGCCCAAGCGACUGUUUAUCAAAAACACAGGUCUCUGCUAAACCGUAAGGUGACGUAUAGGGGCUGACGCCUGCCCGGUGCUGGAAGGUUAAGAGGAGUGGUUAGCGCAAGCGAAGCUACGAAUCGAAGCCCCAGUAAACGGCGGCCGUAACUAUAACGGUCCUAAGGUAGCGAAAUUCCUUGUCGGGUAAGUUCCGACCCGCACGAAAGGCGUAACGAUUUGGGCACUGUCUCAACGAGAGACUCGGUGAAAUCAUAGUACCGGUGAAGAUGCCGGUUACCCGCGACAGGACGGAAAGACCCCGUGGAGCUUUACUGUAGCCUGAUAUUGAAAUUCGGUACAGUUUGUACAGGAUAGGUAGGAGCCUUAGAAGCGUGAGCGCUAGCUUACGUGGAGGCAUUGGUGGGAUACUACCCUAAUUGUAUUGGAUUUCUAACCCGCAGCACUUAUCGUGCUGGGAGACAGUGUCAGGCGGGCAGUUUGACUGGGGCGGUCGCCUCCUAAAGAGUAACGGAGGCGCUCAAAGGUUCCCUCAGAAUGGUUGGAAAUCAUUCAUAGAGUGUAAAGGCAUAAGGGAGCUUGACUGCGAGACCUACAAGUCGAGCAGGGUCGAAAGACGGACUUAGUGAUCCGGUGGUUCCGCAUGGAAGGGCCAUCGCUCAACGGAUAAAAGCUACCCCGGGGAUAACAGGCUUAUCUCCCCCAAGAGUUCACAUCGACGGGGAGGUUUGGCACCUCGAUGUCGGCUCAUCGCAUCCUGGGGCUGUAGUCGGUCCCAAGGGUUGGGCUGUUCGCCCAUUAAAGCGGUACGCGAGCUGGGUUCAGAACGUCGUGAGACAGUUCGGUCCCUAUCCGUCGUGGGCGUAGGAAAUUUGAGAGGAGCUGUCCUUAGUACGAGAGGACCGGGAUGGACAUACCUCUGGUGUACCAGUUGUCGUGCCAACGGCAUAGCUGGGUAGCUAUGUAUGGACGGGAUAAGUGCUGAAAGCAUCUAAGCAUGAAGCCCCCCUCGAGAUGAGAUUUCCCAACUUC
rnacentral:rRNA from 1 species